rnacentral:lncRNA from 1 species
GUAGAUUAUUUGCUGAGGGUGCAAUUCAGCACAUUGCCGCCGGAAGAAAAAUUAGAAAUAAAACGUUUGGGACCACACAGACCAGGGGCCUCAUGUAGGGUUAGACAGUGCGGCGGACAGGUGGAUGAGGAGCCACCCAGGGAUCAACAUCUCCAUUUAUGAUGUGCCCUCCAUCGUUGCUGAAGCCUUACCAAAGGCUGCGACAGUGAACAACAUUACCUCCGGGUUCUCAAGUCCAGGGAUCUGGCCUUUUAACCCCUCUGCGUUUGAGGAAAAGGACUUCGCCGGAGCCUAUUCCACAGACCGUCCUCCUCCCCAGGCUUCGGGUGACGAGGUCAGCGCUUCUCCAGGUGCCACUUCAGGCAUGGAUGUACCUGAUCGAGCUGCCGGGCCUGACGAAGCUGUCCGGCCUGAGGGAGAGGCGGUUGAGUUCAGCCCGGACAUGUUCCGGCCUUACCCUAAGGCCGGACCUAGAAAGAUCACAAAGAGAAGACGGAGAAAGAGACAAGUGGAGUUACUCUUGCAUCUCAUAUCUUGUCUGGACUUCCUUUGUCUACAGUCAUGUAGACCUACCACAUUUAAAGUAAUUCAAUUAUCAUUAAAACGUCCAAUUUAACGUUUUCAGGACAACUGCUAUACUUACGGACACCCCGGUGAGGGCUGCUUUAGAGGCGGAAAAGCAGGGAACUGGGAAGCAGCGUCGUCCCGCCAAGCAGCCUCCCUCCUCUCGGGCUCCCAAGAAGAGGCUGUUCUCGCCCGCUCCUGAUGCCGGAGUUGCUGGAGUUGCCACCUCAGCUGCUCCUCCCACCAUCACCUGGCCCGCUGAUGGAGUCAGCCCCACCUUAGGCCUAGUUUGUCCUGUUCCGGAGGCAGCAGAGUUCACCACCAUUGCUGCCUCCACUUCUCCAAUUUAUUUAGGCCUAUCCAGCGAGGACGUCAGCUGCCUCGUGUGCUCCGAACUCUUCAGCGCCUCGAUGCCUGGGGAAGAGUGGGUCCAGUGUGUCUUUUGUUAUAAGUGGUCGCAUGAGGCUUGCACCGACGGGAGUGCACACUACCUGUGUCACCUGUGUGACAAAGAAUAAAAAUAUUCAGCCUACUAUACUGUCCAUGUGUCUGCACUAGUUUGCAGUGGAAAUACUGUAAAUGUAGGCCUACAGCACAAUUCAGUUAACAUUCUAGACUGAUUAACUAACUAACUAUUAGGCCUGGGUUAGGCUAUGAGUGGGAGCUGGGCUAUUAAAUAUUUCGCUGGGUAGGCCUACUUUUCGUCCAUGAUUGUAACGCAUCCAAAAUAACAACGGCUACAUUAAAUUAUGACAAUAAUAAUUGAAUUUAGUGGACAUGCACACUUAAAAACUGCUGGGUAUAAGCUAUAGGCUAGCCUUCUACACCCUUGCUCUUGGUUAUGACACAUGGCAUGCCGAUUUACCUUUUUCUCCAGCCAUUACCAUCAAUCAGCUAGAGUGCAAUCUUAAUCAAAGUUCUGCUUGUUAUAUGAUUUCAACAUAAUGUUCAUGUCAAUGUGCAGACUAUUACACAAUAUUUAUCAGAUAAAAUAAGUUUAGCCACUUACCUGUCCACAGAGACUCCGGAUGCUUCUGUGCGCCAGGCUGUGCGUGUCGAAAAGAAAUUAACCCUGUGCGGCGCUUGGAUAAAUUUCCGCUGUAACAGGUCUCGUGAUAUCCUGUUGACCUGGUCGUUUUUGUUUAAAAUAAAUAAAAGGAUGUUCAACUGGGUAUCCUUAAACAUGACUUAGGACAGGGAAAUAAGUAAAUUUAAUGCAAAUGUAGUCGUCCAAAAGAAGAAAGGUGAGUUUUAAUCGAAAUGUGCAUCUUGAUAAUUACGCACGGGCCAAAAAUAUAUUUUGACCUAUUUAUAUGAUGCGGAAUUAUGUGAGAUUUUAGCAAUGACGAGUAAACUAGUAUGUUGUCUAGUAUGUUGCAUAAAAACAAGAGUAAGGGCAAUAGAUUCUUUUUAAAAUAUGCUGUUUCAAUCGUCCCGCAUGUGUGUUUCAAACGUCCCUACUAGGCGGGGCGUUUGAAACAAAUGUCAACUUACGUUCAAAGUUAAAAAGCAGCUCGAUCGUCCAACAUAUGUAUUAAAUUUCACUUGUAACUAAGAGAACACACCUGUGAGUUGUUGAUCACAUGUUAAAAUUAUUUGUAUACGUAACGUCAUCUUUGAAAAAGACUUUUAACUGAAAAGUGUUUCAAUCGACCCGGCUCUCCCUGUCAUGUACUGAAUUACCAUGCAGCAAUGUGGGAACGUAUUAUUUGUUGUACUCAGGAAUGUGUUGAUGUGACGCACCGGAAGACUAUGAGGAGUUGAAAAGUAAACAAGUAAAGAGGACACACAUGGUUGAAACGGUCUCGGAGUGAUUGAUUUAAUUCGCUGUUAAAUUCAUAGGUUUAAUCCUGAAAGUAAGUUAACAGUAUAGAUGUAACAUUGGCGACGAGGAUAGCGACUACGCGUGGAAAAAGAAAAUCCAGUGCCAGUCUUAUGUGGUGGGGUCAGAGAGGAAACUAUACGCAUACUCCUCCAACCAGCCACUACCCGUAAAGGGGGCUUUUAAAUGUGAGGUAACGGUCGGAAACGCUAGCGAGCAAGUUGAAUUCACAGUCAUUCAGGGACAUGGGGAGUCACUGUUAGGCAGGGACACCGCCACGAAAUUGGGAGUAUUGCGAAUUGGCACAGACAUAGCUACAGUGCAAGACCUGAAACAGUCCAUGCGAUCACAGUAUCCAGACGUCUUCCAGGGUGUAGGAAAGCUGAACACCAAACAAAUCAGUCUUUACAUCAACCCCGACAUCCAGCCGGUAGCUCAGCCCUUACGGCGGAUACCGUUUAACCUGAGGGGACCUGUGGAAAACAAAAUUAAAGAGCUGUUAAAUAUGGACAUUAUAGAAGAGGUCAGCGGACCGACCCCGUGGGUCAACCCAGUUGUCAUUGUGCCGAAAGCAAA